CUUAUACUCCCUCCGUCCCAUAUUAAGUGUCAAAAUAUUACAUGUAUCUAGACGUUUUUUAGCUAUAGAUACAUCCAUGUUUGGGAAAAUUUGAGACACUUAAUAUGGGACGGAGGGAGUAGUAG
rnacentral:pre_miRNA from 1 species